UAGGUGGCAAGCGUUGUCCGGAAUUAUUGGGCGUAAAGCGCUCGCAGGCGGUCUUUUAAGUCUGAUGUGAAAUCUCGUGGCUUAACCACGAACGGUCAUUGGAAACUGGAGGACUUGAGUACAGAAGAGGAGAGUGGAAUUCCACGUGUAGCGGUGAAAUGCGUAGAGAUGUGGAGGAACACCAGUGGCGAAGGCGACUCUCUGGUCUGUAACUGACGCUGAGGAGCGAAAGCGUGGGGAGCGAACAGG
rnacentral:rRNA from 1 species